rnacentral:rRNA from 1 species
AUUGAACGCUGGCGGAAUGCUUUACACAUGCAAGUCGAACGGUAGAGGGGCAACCCUUGAGAGUGGCGAACGGGUGAGUAAUGUAUCGGAACAUGCCCAGUCGUGGGGGAUAACGUAGCGAAAGUUACGCUAAUACCGCAUACGAUCUAUGGACGAAAGCGGGGGAUCGCAAGACCUCGCGCGAUUGGAGUGGCCGAUAUCAGAUUAGGUAGUUGGUGGGGUAAAGGCCUACCAAGCCGACGAUCUGUAGCUGGUCUGAGAGGACGACCAGCCACACUGGGACUGAGACACGGCCCAGACUCCUACGGGAGGCAGCAGUGGGGAAUUUUGGACAAUGGGCGCAAGCCUGAUCCAGCCAUUCCGCGUGCAGGAAGAAGGCCUUCGGGUUGUAAACUGCUUUUGUACGGAACGAAACGCGCUGAGCUAAUACCUCGGCGUAAUGACGGUACCGUAAGAAUAAGCACCGGCUAACUACGUGCCAGCAGCCGCAGUAACAC